AACGAACGCUGGCGGCAUGCCUAACACAUGCAAGUCGAACGAGACCUUCGGGUCUAGUGGCGCACGGGUGCGUAACGCGUGGGAACCUGCCCUUAGGUUCGGAAUAACUCCCCGAAAGGGGUGCUAAUACCGGAUAAUGUCUUCGGACCAAAGAUUUAUCGCCUUUGGAUGGGCCCGCGUUGGAUUAGCUAGUUGGUAGUGUAAAAGCCUACCAAGGCGACGAUCCAUAGCUGGUCUGAGAGGAUGAUCAGCCACACUGGGACUGAGACACGGCCCAGACUCCUACGGGAGGCAGCAGAGGGGAAUAUUGGAAAAUGGGCGAAAGCCUGAUCCAGCAAUGCCGCGUGAGUGAUGAAGGCCUUAGGGUUGUAAAGCUCUUUUACCCGGGAUGAUAAUGACAGUACCGGGAGAAUAAGCGCCGGCUAACUCCGUG
rnacentral:rRNA from 1 species